AGAGUUUGAUCAUGGCUCAGGAUGAACGCUAGCUACAGGCUUAACACAUGCAAGUCGAGGGGCAGCAUGGUCUUAGCUUGCUAAGGCCGAUGGCGACCGGCGCACGGGUGAGUAACACGUAUCCAACCUGCCGUCUACUCUUGGACAGCCUUCUGAAAGGAAGAUUAAUACAAGAUGGCAUCAUGAGUUCACAUGUUCACAUGAUUAAAGGUAUUCCGGUAGACGAUGGGGAUGCGUUCCAUUAGAUAGUAGGCGGGGUAACGGCCCACCUAGUCUUCGAUGGAUAGGGGUUCUGAGAGGAAGGUCCCCCACAUUGGAACUGAGACACGGUCCAAACUCCUACGGGAGGCAGCAGUGGGGAAUAUUGCACAAUGGGGGAAACCCUGAUGCAGCGACGCCGCGUGGAGGAAGAAGGUCUUCGGAUUGUAAACUCCUGUUGUUGAGGAAGAUAAUGACGGUACUCAACAAGGAAGUGACGGCUAACUACGUGCCAGCAGCCGCGGUAAAACGUAGGUCACAAGCGUUGUCCGGAAUUACUGGGUGUAAAGGGAGCGCAGGCGGGAAGACAAGUUGGAAGUGAAAUCUAUGGGCUCAACCCAUAAACUGCUUUCAAAACUGUUUUUCUUGAGUAGUGCAGAGGUAGGCGGAAUUCCCGGUGUAGCGGUGGAAUGCGUAGAUAUCGGGAGGAACACCAGUGGCGAAGGCGGCCUACUGGGCACCAACUGACGCUGAGGCUCGAAAGUGUGGGUAGCAAACAGGAUUAGAUACCCUGGUAGUCCACACCGUAAACGAUGAUUACUAGGUGUUGGAGGAUUGACCCCUUCAGUGCCGCAGUUAACACAAUAAGUAAUCCACCUGGGGAGUACGACCGCAAGGUUGAAACUCAAAGGAAUUGACGGGGGCCCGCACAAGCAGUGGAGUAUGUGGUUUAAUUCGACGCAACGCGAAGAACCUUACCAAGUCUUGACAUCCUGCGACGUGCAUAGAAAUAUGUAUUUCCUUCGGGACGCAGAGACAGGUGGUGCAUGGUUGUCGUCAGCUCGUGUCGUGAGAUGUUGGGUUAAGUCCCGCAACGAGCGCAACCCUUACUGUCAGUUACUACGCAAGAGGACUCUGGCAGGACUGCCGUUGACAAAACGGAGGAAGGUGGGGAUGACGUCAAAUCAUCAUGCCCUUUAUGACUUGGGCUACACACGUACUACAAUGGCGUUAAACAAAGAGAAGCAAGACCGCGAGGUGGAGCAAAACUCAGAAACAACGUCCCAGUUCGGACUGCAGGCUGCAACUCGCCUGCACGAAGUCGGAAUUGCUAGUAAUCGUGGAUCAGCAUGCCACGGUGAAUACGUUCCCGGGCCUUGUACUCACCGCCCGU
rnacentral:rRNA from 1 species